ACAAACUUGGUCAUUUAGAGGAAGUAAAAGUCGUAACAAGGUUUCCGUAGGUGAACCUGCGGAAGGAUCAUUAACAAUUGUCCACUUUAAUGGAUAAUUUAUCCAUAUCCACCUUGUGUGAAUCAUUGAAGCGUUUGUUGGCAGGUUAGGCUCUUCUGCAUAGGAGAUGCCGUGAGUUUAGAUUUUGUCUGCUCGGCCUGCCAAUUUUAUUUGUUUAAACAUGUCUAAAAUAUAUUGGACUGAAAUAGAUAUAAUAUAAUAAAUACAACUUUCAACAAUGGAUCUCUUGGCUCUCGCAUCGAUGAAGAACGCAGC
rnacentral:misc_RNA from 1 species